CCUGCCGAAGCAACUAGCCCUGAAAAUGGAUGGCGCUCUAGCGUCGUGCCUAUACCGGGCCGUCAACGGCAAAGUGGGCUGGUGCCAGGCCGGUUAACGCCGGCCUGCUCGGCCGUUAAGCCUUGACGAGUAGGAGGCGCGCGGCGGUGUGCGCAGAAGGGUCUGGGCGCGAGCCUGCCUGGAGCCGCCGUCGGUGCAGAUCUUGGUGGUAGUAGCAAAUACUCUAGCGAGGGCCUGGAGGGCUGAUGUGGAGAAGGGUUUCUUGUGAACAGCCGUUGCACAAGAGUCAGUCGACCCUAAGCCCUAGGAGAAAUCCGAUGUUGAUGGGCAGCGAUCACUCGGCCUGGUCUGUUGUCGCGGUCGGACGGUGCUCGUGUAGCAACGCCGAGCGCGCGCGCGCGGCCUACCGACUGCUCCCGUCGGGCGAAAGGGAAUCCGGUUCCUAUUCCGGAACCCGGCUGCGGAACCGUCACUUCGCGGGCACUCGCCUGCGAGCGCUCGUCGGGGUAACCCAAAAUGACCCGGAGACGCCGGCGGGAGGUCUGGAAAGAGUUGUCUUUUCUUUAUAAGCGUUCGAGUUCCCUGGAAUCCUAUAGCAGGGAGAUAGGGUUUGGAACGCGAAGAGCACCGCAGUUGCGGCGGUGUCUGGACCUUCCCCCCGGACCUUGAAAAUCCGGGUGAGGGCUACGCGGAAAUGUCGCGCCGGCUCGUACCCAUAUCCGCAGCAGGUCUCCAA
rnacentral:rRNA from 1 species